GGUUAAGCGACUAAGCGUACACGGUGGAUGCCCUGGCAGUCAGAGGCGAUGAAGGACGUGCUAAUCUGCGAAAAGCGACGGCGAGGUGAUAUGAACCUUUGACCCGUCGAUGUCCGAAUGGGGAAACCCAGUGCAAUCCGUUGCACUAUCGUUAACUGAAUACAUAGGUUAACGAGGCGAACCGGGGGAACUGAAACAUCUAAGUACCCCGAGGAAAAGAAAUCAACCGAGAUUCCCCCAGUAGCGGCGAGCGAACGGGGAGCAGCCCGGAGUCUGAAUCAGCUUGUGUGUUAGUGGAACGGUCUGGAAAGUCCGACGGUACAGGGUGAUAGUCCCGUACACGAAAGCACACAUGCUGUGAACUCGAAGAGUAGGGCGGGACACGUGGUAUCCUGUCUGAAUAUGGGGGGACCAUCCUCCAAGGCUAAAUACUCCUGACUGACCGAUAGUGAACCAGUACCGUGAGGGAAAGGCGAAAAGAACCCCGGCGAGGGGAGUGAAAAAGAACCUGAAACCGUGUACGUACAAGCAGUGGGAGCCUCUUUAUGGGGUGACUGCGUACCUUUUGUAUAAUGGGUCAGCGACUUAUAUUCUGUAGCAAGGUUAACCGUAUAGGGGAGCCGAAGGGAAACCGAGUCUUAACUGGGCGUUAAGUUGCAGGGUAUAGACCCGAAACCCGGUGAUCUAGCCAUGGGCAGGUUGAAGGUUGGGUAACACUAACUGGAGGACCGAACCGACUAAUGUUGAAAAAUUAGCGGAUGACCUGUGGCUGGGGGUGAAAGGCCAAUCAAACCGGGAGAUAGCUGGUUCUCCCCGAAAGCUAUUUAGGUAGCGCCUCGUGAACUCAUCUUCGGGGGUAGAGCACUGUUUCGGCUAGGGGGCCAUCCCGGCUUACCAACCCGAUGCAAACUACGAAUACCGAAGAAUGUUAUCACGGGAGACACACGGCGGGUGCUAACGUCCGUCGUGAAGAGGGAAACAACCCAGACCGCCAGCUAAGGUCCCAAAGUCAUGGUUAAGUGGGAAACGAUGUGGGAAGGCACAGACAGCCAGGAUGUUGGCUUAGAAGCAGCCAUCAUUUAAAGAAAGCGUAAUAGCUCACUGGUCGAGUCGGCCUGCGCGGAAGAUGUAACGGGGCUAAACCAUGCACCGAAGCUGCGGCAGCGACGCUUAUGCGUUGUUGGGUAGGGGAGCGUUCUGUAAGCCGUUGAAGGUGUGCUGUGAGGCAUGCUGGAGGUAUCAGAAGUGCGAAUGCUGACAUAAGUAACGAUAAAGCGGGUGAAAAGCCCGCUCGCCGGAAGACCAAGGGUUCCUGUCCAACGUUAAUCGGGGCAGGGUGAGUCGACCCCUAAGGCGAGGCCGAAAGGCGUAGUCGAUGGGAAACAGGUUAAUAUUCCUGUACUUGGUGUUACUGCGAAGGGGGGACGGAGAAGGCUAUGUUAGCCGGGCGACGGUUGUCCCGGUUUAAGCAUGUAGGCGGAGGUUCCAGGUAAAUCCGGUACCUUUUAACGCUGAGGUGUGAUGACGAGGCACUACGGUGCUGAAGUAACAAAUGCCCUGCUUCCAGGAAAAGCCUCUAAGCAUCAGGUAACACGAAAUCGUACCCCAAACCGACACAGGUGGUCAGGUAGAGAAUACCAAGGCGCUUGAGAGAACUCGGGUGAAGGAACUAGGCAAAAUGGUGCCGUAACUUCGGGAGAAGGCACGCUGAUAUGUAGGUGAAGCCCCUGCGGGUGGAGCUGAAAUCAGUCGAAGAUACCAGCUGGCUGCAACUGUUUAUUAAAAACACAGCACUGUGCAAACACGAAAGUGGACGUAUACGGUGUGACGCCUGCCCGGUGCCGGAAGGUUAAUUGAUGGGGUUAGCGGCAACGCGAAGCUCUUGAUCGAAGCCCCGGUAAACGGCGGCCGUAACUAUAACGGUCCUAAGGUAGCGAAAUUCCUUGUCGGGUAAGUUCCGACCUGCACGAAUGGCGUAAUGAUGGCCAGGCUGUCUCCACCCGAGACUCAGUGAAAUUGAACUCGCUGUGAAGAUGCAGUGUACCCGCGGCAAGACGGAAAGACCCCGUGAACCUUUACUAUAGCUUGACACUGAACACUGGUCCUUGAUGUGUAGGAUAGGUGGGAGGCUUUGAAGCGUGGACGCCAGUCUGCGUGGAGCCGUCCUUGAAAUACCACCCUUUAAUGGCUGGUGUUCUAACGUGGACCCGUAAUCCGGGUUGCGGACAGUGUCUGGUGGGUAGUUUGACUGGGGCGGUCUCCUCCCAAAGAGUAACGGAGGAGCACGAAGGUUAGCUAAUCCUGGUCGGACAUCAGGAGGUUAGUGCAAUGGCAUAAGCUAGCUUGACUGCGAGAGUGACGGCUCGAGCAGGUGCGAAAGCAGGUCAUAGUGAUCCGGUGGUUCUGAAUGGAAGGGCCAUCGCUCAACGGAUAAAAGGUACUCCGGGGAUAACAGGCUGAUACCGCCCAAGAGUUCAUAUCGACGGCGGUGUUUGGCACCUCGAUGUCGGCUCAUCACAUCCUGGGGCUGAAGUAGGUCCCAAGGGUAUGGCUGUUCGCCAUUUAAAGUGGUACGCGAGCUGGGUUUAGAACGUCGUGAGACAGUUCGGUCCCUAUCUGCCGUGGGCGCUGGAGAAUUGAGGGGGGCUGCUCCUAGUACGAGAGGACCGGAGUGGACGCAUCACUGGUGUUCGGGUUGUCAUGCCAAUGGCACUGCCCGGUAGCUAAAUGCGGAAGAGAUAAGUGCUGAAAGCAUCUAAGCACGAAACUUGCCCCGAGAUGAGUUCUCCCUGAGACUUUAAGUCUCCUGAAGGAACGUUGAAGACGACGACGUUGAUAGGUCGGGUGUGUAAGCGCAGCGAUGCGUUGAGCUAACCGAUACUAAUGAACCGUGAGGCUUAACCUU
rnacentral:rRNA from 1 species